rnacentral:rRNA from 1 species
UACGUAGGGCGCAAGCGUUGUCCGGAAUUAUUGGGCGUAAAGAGCUCGUAGGCGGCUUGUUACGUCUGCUGUGAAAUCCCAGGGCUCAACCUCGGGCCUGCAGUGGGUACGGGCAGACUAGAGUGCGGUAGGGGAGAAUGGAAUUCCUGGUGUAGCGGUGGAAUGCGCAGAUAUCAGGAGGAACACCGAUGGCGAAGGCAGUUCUCUGGGCUGUAACUGACGCUGAGACGCGAAAGCGUGGGGGAGCGAACAGG